AGGAGCGCUAUGACUGUGGUCAUGUAUGCAAGCUUCAGGUAAUCUUUAUAAUUGGUUAGUCGAAAAAGUUUGAAGGUUUGUGCAAAUAUAUCCCCAAGACAGCAGGAACCUUUGUGCUCGUGCUUCACCAGGUGAUGUAUCUGCCAGGCUUUCUAGAGCAGCUUGAAGUACUUUUCAGAACAAAAUCACCUGUAACAAGCACAAAACAUACUUUGUGCACUCUAUGGAAGCCCAGAGCCCAGGCCAUUUUACAGAACUCCAGUUUUUGCUAUGCUUCAACACAGAUAAAAGCCUGACAGCUGAGCCGUUUUAAAGCACCCCAUAAAACCCUUGAGUCAUGCAAAAUCCUAUCACAUUUUUCCCUCUGGUUGAAAAGUUAUGAAUGGUACAAGUGCUAUUAAAUCAUAGAUAAAGAAUGCUGAGUGAUGGGUUAGUAAAAAUAAUUUUAAAAACUCCUUGUUUUCAUCUAUAUCUUAUUUCCCUGGGUGUGAAUUCAACAGGUAAGACUGAAAUAUCACAGCUUACCCCCAAAAGGAGUGGCGUGCAGCUGGAUCCCUUGGAGAGUCGCUAUUCCUUUUCUUGGUUUCCUUACUGCUGCAGGCAAAUUAUGAUUUUAAUACUUCUCCUUUAUUGAGCACAGCUAAUUUCCCCACCCUAUACCAGCUCAACUUCUCUGGCAGGAAUGUUGGGGAUGGCAGACCUGUGCUUUCAUCUGCUCCCAAGCCUCCUGCUGACAAAACUGCACCUCUGUGAUCCCACUCAACCAGCUUUUAGCCCAGCUGCCCAGCCAGGUAGGCAGAGUUGGGGGCAACGUGGUGUCCUCUGUAUGCUUGCAUCCACCAGUGCUGCUCUGCCAGCUGCUGACCCAGUACCAUGAGGAUACCUAUAUCCCUCUGGCUGUUUUUUUUUCUAGAAUAAAGCUACCUGGAACUACUGCUUGGUUCAGGAGCAAACCCCUCUGAAAAGGUUGUGCAUACAUCUUACUUCAAAACUUCUAUGUGACCUUUCCCACUGAUGUCAGGCUUGUGCAGAGGAGAGCAAGCCACAGAGCCCCGUGUCUCAUCUUUUUGUCCCAGCCACCAGGUGCUUUCUGACGGACAUGCAGAGAUCAAAUAAAUGAAAUCCCACUUUACUACAGAAAGAGAGACCUGUCACCAUGGUGCUGGGCUCAGAGAGCUGCAGAGCAAAAGCUUCACCAAGCCGUAUGGCUGAAUUGUUCCCUUCUUCGUCGCCCAUUAAAAAAAUCUAAGUGGAAGAUGAGAAGCUGCCUGCUUUAGGUUCAUGUAUGAAUAAUUAUAGGUACCUGCACUACCAAGGGACUUUCUGAAAGACGAGUAAAGAGCUGGGCCUCUUCAGGGAAUCUGUGGCAAGCAGGUCAUUCAAAAAUAACUUUUGGAGGCUAUGGGAAGUGGGUGAAAUGAAGUAACAAACAGCUUCUGAAAAAAACAGCCAAUGAAAGGGAGUGUUUCAUCUGAUAUCACAAACUGUUAGUUUUCAUUCUGAUCCUGUUGUUUUCUUCUUUAUAUAGCUCAUAGAGUGCCCUUAAGUUGUCUCCAAAGGAUAUUAAUUUUCCACUGGCAUCAGAAAGGCUGAAGUGAUACUUGCAAUGAGGGUAAAUGACUCCCUUGAGGUUUUGGCACCCACAGCUCUGGCCUAACUGGAAACACAGGCAAUUAAUAAAUCAGAAAAUCAGUGCCUCUCGGCCCUCACUGCUCUAGGGAAUCCAAUGGGAGCUUUGUCAGUAGGACUAGGAGACUAGACCAAGACCACAGAGCGUGCCCCAUAAUGGACUUGCAUGUGGAAAAGCUCGGCUGUCUACAACGAAUGCCAGCUCUUAAAAGUACUGAUCAAGGUCUGAAGUAGACUGAAGCAGAAAACCCUGAACAAGAACUGGGAUCCACCGCAAACAGGGAGGUGUCUUCAGCCACUAUGGGAGGACUGCUGCAGCCACAUGGUGAUGCUGAGUGAAGCUCACCAGCAACCAGAAAAUACAACUGGUUCUUGCUCUCAGGGAUGUAAGGCCAUCUCAGAUAGUAAUGUCUAAAGCAUCAAAACUUAUUCCUUGUGAAGCCUGGGUGAUAACUGGUAAUUAAGACUGUAACAGCCACAAGCUGUGAUAUGCUGUCAUCUACACAAAAUCUACCUGAUUCCAGCUCAUCUGGAAGCAAAAACAUCACUAUGAUUGCUGAGAUAGGAAUUGAAAGCCAGCCUGUUUCCCAGGGUCCUCUUAAAGUUUUCAUGCUGGCUGAAAGUAGAUCAUAAGCUCUGUGGCACUUGUCACCAUUACUUUACCUCCUUUUUUUGUGUGUGCGCAGAGAACCGUUUGCAAUGUGAAAUAGUGCUAGACAUUGCCAAAAAAGCCAACCAAACACCCUGCUUAUGCUACUUGGAUGCAAGACAUCUUUAGAAGAUGGACUCCGGGGGACAAACAAAUAAUACCAACAAAGUUUCAGGGUCCUUUGCGGGCUCUUGGCUUCCCAAAAUGAUGUGACAUGGAAAACCCUCAGCUGAGUUUGACAUGUGGAUAAACCAAAGCAUCAAGUACCUGCGCAUCUAACACUUGGGCACUCAAAUCCUCAUAAAGGCACUGGGAGCUCAUGGGAGCUCAGGAGACGCACAUACAGGAGGCAUUUGAGAGCCAGGACUACAGCAAAGAAUCAGAACUGGACCAAGAUUGUGGCUUUAUGGCUGAAAGGUACAGAACUAAAACUAAGGUCUAGGAGCUCCAAAAGAGUUAUCAGUGCUGUGCUUGUGUUGUUAAUGGAAAUGGCUUCAGUCUGCCUUCCUGCUUGUGCCAGCCACAGCCCUUGGCACGGUGCAGGCAGCUCACACGUGCAUCAUGAUCAGCACCCUGCUGGGAGAGAGCUUCACCAUCUGAGUGCUCACAGCCCCUCCAGCAGCUCACCCAGCCCUUCGUCUGCAGGAGCUCCGACUGCUUGGGCCUGUGCCUCAGAGGAGGUCAGCAGCAAGCUCCAUGCUUCCCAAGGGAUGCACAGUUCUUGGUAAGCAUCUGGCUGUAACAGGCACGGCUAAAAUGCCACAUUGGGCACAAUUCAAUGCAGUAAUUUCCACACUCGUUCUCGUUCUGAUGACGACUCAAUGAGCUCAAAGUCUUUGCAAAGUUUAUGCACCACAUGCUUGCACAGGUCUUGGUCUGUGAUGAAUCUGUAGCUUCCAACAAAUUACAGUUGGUGUGCUAUUUUAUUUACAUAGGAUUCAUCUAAUUCAAAUGACUAGAUGAAAUCCUUUCAUCUUCAGGGCACAGGAGGUCAGAGUACGGUGAUUUUAUACGGCUGC